ensembl:snoRNA
AAGACUAUACUUUCAGGGAUCAUUUCUAUAGUUUCUGACUUGAGAAAUGUGUUUCUAAAGUGUUUGGUCUCACUAACCACGAUGAUGAGUCGUGAUAUUUCCUUCUGAGCGUGAAGCUGACAGAGAAUAAUGAUUCAGUUCAUAUGUUCUCUGUCAUUGAUGACCGUUCAUUGUUUCCUAGAGGAGCAUUGAGAAAGGGAAUAUGGUCAGAGUGGUA